UACGUAGGGUGCAAGCGUUGUCCGGAAUUAUUGGGCGUAAAGAGCUCGUAGGCGGUUUGUUGCGUCGGCUGUGAAAUCCCGAGGCUCAACCUCGGGUCUGCAGUCGAUACGAGCAAACUAGAGUGUUGCAGGGGAGACUGGAAUUCCUGGUGUAGCGGUGAAAUGCGCAGAUAUCAGGAGGAACACCGGUGGCGAAGGCGGGUCUCUGGGCAACAACUGACGCUGAGGCACGAAAGCGUGGGGAUCAAACAGG
rnacentral:rRNA from 1 species